GGCGCAAGACCUGAUCUAGCCAUGCCGCGUGAGUGACGAAGGCCUUAGGGUCGUAAAGCUCUUUCGCCUGUGAUGAUAAUGACAGUAGCAGGUAAAGAAACCCCGGCUAACUCCGUGCCAGCAGCAGACGGAUAAUAC
rnacentral:rRNA from 1 species